CAGGCCUGUUUUCCAACGCUGUUAUUUGCAAGUAUUGUGGAAAUGCCUUCACUUUGCCCGAAGAAGAAGUUGAAGGCAACCUCCCCCGUGUACUUCUGUGUGGCCACAUCUACUGCACAUCAUGCCUGUGCACUAUUGAGUGUGACCGUAUCAUUCGAUGUCCGGAGUGUGAGGUUGAGUCGAGCCUUCCUGAAGGUGGUGUGUGUGGUCUACAGGAAGACAGUAGGAUCAUUGGC